UACGGGGGGGGCAAGCGUUGUUCGGAAUUACUGGGCGUAAAGGGCUCGUAGGCGGCCAACUAAGUCAUACGUGAAAUCCCUCAGCUUAACUGGGGAACUGCGUGUGAUACUGGAUGGCUUGGAUUUGGGAGAGGGAUGCGGAAUUCCAGGUGUAGCGGUGAAAUGCGUAGAUAUCUGGAGGAACACCGGUGGCGAAGGCGGCGUUCUGGACUGCAACUGACACUGAUGAACGAAAGCCAGGGGAGCAAACGGG
rnacentral:rRNA from 1 species